AAUUCGCCUUCAUGAAGCCGGAAUUGCUAGUAAUGGCAGGUCAGCAUACUGCCGUGAAUACGUUCCCGGGCCUUGUACACACCGCCCGUCACACCAUGAGAGUUGGGGAUACCCGAAGCCUGUGAGCCAACUUUAAUAGAGGCAGCAGUCGAAGGUAGAAUCAAUGAUUGGGGUGAAGUCGUAACAAGGUAUC
rnacentral:rRNA from 1 species